rnacentral:rRNA from 1 species
UACAGAGGCGGCAAGCGUUGUUCGGAUUUAUUGGGUGUAAAGGGCAGGUAGGUGGCCAUGUAAGUCCGCUGUGAAAUCCUUGGGCUCAACCCAAGAACUGCAGUAGAAACUACACGGCUUGAGUAUCAGAGAGAUGGAGGGGAAUUCUCGGUGUAAGGGUGAAAUCUGUAGAUAUCGAGAGGAAUACCAGUGGCGAAGGCGCCUCAUUGGCUGAUAACUGACACUGAGCUGCGAAAAGCAAGGGGAGGCAAAACAGG